CCUAAACUUCCCCUGUUCUUUAGUAUGUUUUUUUCUCUAGUUUAACCAAUGGUCCUCAAUAAUAUAUAUUUAUUAAUUUAUUAAUUAAUACAUUCAGGCGUUGGAGAUCAACACUGUUUAAAUGCACGGUGCGAUUUCUUUCUUUUUUUUUUACUUUUAUUUUGACAGCUGGUUGCCGGAUGUAACGCCAAUGGCUCCUGGGCGGGAGUAAUGUGAUUGGCUCCUCAGCGGAGGUCCCGGUGUAUGCAGCCGGGGGCUUUAGUGUAUAAACACAGCAUCAGACUGUUGGAGGUUAAGGUGAAUAUGUAAGGGUGGUUAGAGUUUCCCCCGGUCUCCAGUAAAGUGGAGCAGCAGAAGAUCCAGCUCUGAUCAGCAGCUCCACACCUCUGUACUCAGACUGCUCUGCUGGAGGAACACCAUCAGCUCACCUGCUGCAGAACUGAAAGCUAUGCCCAAGUCUUCUCAUGAUCCCAGUGUCAGGAUUCCUACCUGGAUGAAGUUUAGCUUCACAUAUACAAUCAGAAGAUUCACCAAGAUUUUAAAC
rnacentral:lncRNA from 1 species